rnacentral:rRNA from 1 species
GUGACCUGCGGAGGAUCAUUACAGAGUUUCAUGCCCUUACGGGUAGAUCUCCCACCCUUUGAGUACUAUACUUUUGUUGCUUUGGCAGGCCGCUUCGGCUACCGGCUUCGGCUGGUGAGUGCCUGCCAGAGAACCCCAAAUUCUGAAUUAUAGUGUCGUCUGAGAACUAUAUAAUAGUUAAAACUUUCAACAACGGAUCUCUUGGUUCUGGCAUCGAUGAAGAACGCAGCGAAAUGCGAUAAGUAAUGUGAAUUGCAGAAUUCAGUGAAUCAUCGAAUCUUUGAACGCACAUUGCGCCCCUUGGUAUUCCGGGGGGCAUGCCUGUUCGAGCGUCAUUAUAACCCUCAAGCCUAGCUUGGUGUUGGAGCCUGCCUCUGGGCAGCUCUUAAAAUCAGUGGCGGUGCCGUCUGGCUCUAAGCGUAGUAAUUUUUCUCGCUACAGAGUCCCGGCGGUUGCUUGCCAACAACCCCAAAUUUUCUAUGGUUGACCUCGGAUCAGGUAGGGAUACCCGCUGAACUUAAGCAUAUCAAUAAGCGGAGGAAAAGAAACCAACAGGGAUUGCCUCAGUAACGGCGAGUGAAGCGGCAACAGCUCAAAUUUGAAAUCUGGCUCUUUCAGGGUCCGAGUUGUAAUUUAAG